GACAAUAUUUUGUUUCCUUUUUUAAAAGAUAUCGAAUAUAAAAUAAAGCAAUCCUAUUGGUUGGUGAACCUAGAGGUUCACCCUAGGGGGUGGACCUAAGAAUAAGUCUUUUAAAAAAAAAAUCAAAAAUACAAAAACAUGAAAGAAAAGAGAGGCAAGAUCGCAUGCGAGAAGCUCUGACACACUUAUAAGAAACCCAUAUCACCACAUGUCUUUCAUCUAUUGGAUUAACUUUAACAAAUAAAACAAAAAUUAAACUUUAAAUAAAAAUAGAUAGAUUAAACUAAUAAUAUUUUUUGGUCAGAGAUACCUAAAUUCAAGAUCAACCGAUAAGGUUCCUCUAAGAAUUUAAAAAUAAGAACCAAACAGUUAUAAGAGCAUCUCCAAUUCAUUGCUAUUUUCACCUCUAUAAUAGCAUUUAGAGGUAAAAUUGAUCCAACCCACCUCUAUUUCUUUCUCUAUAAUAGAGAUCUCUAUAUUUUCCUCUAUUUAUAGAGAAAGAAAUAGCAUUCCUCUAUUUUUUACUCUAUAAUUGAAGAUUGCUAUUAUAGAGAAAUACAUUGGAGCAUAUCUCACUUCUAUUAUAGAGUUCUUCUAUUUUAGAGGUGAAAAUAACAAAAUACAUUGGAGAUGGUCUAAGAAGAUUCAGCAGGUUAAUGGAUAAGGAAGAUUCAGCAGGUUAAUGGAUAAGGAUCAAAGAAUGUGAAAGCCUUUUGAAAAGAAAAGGAUGAAUCAUGUGAAUCUAACACUAUUUCAUUUAAAAAAUGUUACUCUCACUCACGUUAUAUAUCUUAAUUUAUCUUCAUCUCUUCAUAACAUAUUCAACCAUUCAGAAGAGUUUUUAUAUGAGAACCCAAAUCAUAACUAAAAUUUUCAAAUGAAAUUGGUAUCUUUAGUCGCGAUUCUUCUUCUCCAUCUCUUUGUUAGUAUUAAUAGUUUCCGACUGGAUUGUUGUAGAUGUGGCAAGUGGGUCAAGCAUACCGGACUGCUCGCACGCAUGUGGAUCAUGUACACCAUGCAAGCUCGUUGUGGUCAGUUCCAAGUGCUCGGCAUCAGAGUCCGAGGCUUGUCCUGUCGUCUACAAGUGCUUGUGCAAAGGAAAAUACUAUCACGUGCCUUCUAUCGCCUAACCCCUUUACGUUAUCAUAAGCUUAAGAGAUAUUAAGAUGGUCUGUUGUUGCUUAUUGUCUCAAGUUAGGUGUAGUUGAUUUGUAAUGCCUGUAAUAAAAACCAAGAUUAGGUCAUUUAACAUAGAAACUAAAAAGGAACAAACUAAACGGCCGGAAAAAUAUAGCACAACAAGUGAUGAAUGUAAAAUCGUUUGAAGAGAACUCAGACGAUAAGGUGGCCAUUAACACACUGAUACUUAUCUAAAAUGAAGUACAGUUCAUUCGAAUA